rnacentral:rRNA from 1 species
UACGGAGGGAGCUAGCGUUGUUCGGAAUUACUGGGCGUAAAGCGCACGUAGGCGGCUACUCAAGUCAGAGGUGAAAGCCCGGGGCUCAACCCCGGAACUGCCUUUGAAACUAGGUAGCUAGAAUCUUGGAGAGGUCAGUGGAAUUCCGAGUGUAGAGGUGAAAUUCGUAGAUAUUCGGAAGAACACCCAGUGGCGAAGGCGACUGACUGGACGAGUAUUGACGCUGAGGUGCGAAAGCGUGGGGAGCAAACAGGG